rnacentral:rRNA from 1 species
AUUGAACGCUGGCGGCAGGCCUAACACAUGCAAGUCGAGCGAGCGGCGGACGGGUGAGUAAUGUCUGGGAAACUGCCUGAUGGAGGGGGAUAACUACUGGAAACGGUAGCUAAUACCGCAUACCAUCAGAUGUGCCCAGGUGGGAUUAGCUAGUAGGUGGGGUAACGGCUCACCUAGGCGACGAUCCCUAGCUGGUCUGAGAGGAUGACCAUCCACACUGAAACUGAGACACGGUCCAGGCUCCUACGGGCGGCGGCAGUGGGGAAUAUUGCACAAUGGGCGCAAGCGUGAUGCCGACGUGCCGCGUGUGUGAAGAAGGCCUUCGGGUUGUAAAGCAGUUUCAGCGGGGAGGCGUUACCGGAAGAAGAAGCACCGGCUAACUCCGUGCCAGCAGCCGCGGUAAUU